CUCUCCGAUCCUCCUCUCCUCCCAUUUGGCAAGAGCUGCGCGGCUGGUCUCAUCAGGAGAGAUAACCUUGAUAAUAUACAAUGUUCCCUUAGAGAUGGCUACCAGAAAUUAAACCUAAUGGCUGCACAUGCCGCAGCUCUUGCUGUUCGGUGUAGUGCUCAAAAUGUGGUCACAGCCAGCUUGGGCUUCGAUUUUUCUUUUUACAUAUAUUUUUG